UACGUAGGCAACAAGCGUUGUUCGGAGUUACUGGGCGUAAAGGGUGCGUAGGCGGCUUUUUAAGUUUGGUGUGAAAUCUCCCGGCUCAACUGGGAGGGUGCGCCGAAUACUGAGAGGCUAGAGUGUAGGAGAGGAAAGUGGAAUUCCUGGUGUAGCGGUGAAAUGCGUAGAUAUCAGGAGGAACACCGGUGGUGUAAACGGCUUUCUGGACCAUAACUGACGCUGAGGCACGAAAGCGUGGGUAGCAAACAGG
rnacentral:rRNA from 1 species